GCUCCGGUGGCCUAGUGGUUAGAGCGUCCGCCUCUGUUGCGGUAGUUCGUGGGUUUGAUUCCCGGUCGAGUCA